UAUCUGUAUUAAUUUGAGGUAAUAUGGUAGUAGUAUAUUAUAAUUUUACAUGGGAAACCAAGAGGGAAAAUAUAUCAUAUGAUUAUGAAUAGAUUGGCUGUGAUUAAGAAGCGUCACGGAGUAAUCGUAUUCUUCAAUCUUCACUUGGUUCAGGCGUUCAGCGCGUGGUUCUUUGUGUUGAAUUCCAGUCGAGAUUUUUGUCCGAGGGGGUGAAAUCCUAGUCCAUGUGGAUAUCACCGGGCAAUCCUGAUGGUUUCUCACUCAGAAUUUAGGGUUUUUUAUCCGAAUUCUGUAAAUUUUGCUGGACUUACUGGUCGGUGGCUUUGAACAUGGUUGUCCUCGUUUAUUUAUUACUUCCGCUGUUUGAUUUGGGGAUUCCUGUUUGCAAAUGAAUAUAACAACUGAAAAAUUCUAGGGAUUCUAGUGAAAAUUCCGUUAAACUGCCUCAGUCUGUGAUCGGACAUGUGUGAUUUCUGAUCUAAACCACUAUGCUUUAUGUCGUCCAUACGCCUCCUCUAGGUUAAUAUUCUGCAUUGCAUCUGCUUUUUGGAUGAAACUUUAGUAUCUUUUUCAUUUAUUCGAUGCAUUUCGACUUGAAAUUUUGUCUUUAUUGUUUUGCUUCCUUCUAGAAUCUCUGUUCUGGGGAAGGUUCGUGUUCUGUUGUCUGGUUUCACAUGUGCUUCUUUAGUUUUGGAGAACUUUGUCUCCAUUCUCUGGUGUUUCUUAGCACAUAAGCUAGAGGGGGUUCUAUUUAUAUCGGGUUUGAUGGUUGAUUGAAGAAGGAUGGUUAAAUUGACUGACCUGCAUGAACUUUGAACUUAUGAGACCAUCCAAAAUUUGAAUUAUCAUUGAUGAAUUACACAUGAAUGUGCAUACGUUUUGUUACUGAUGUCUCUAUCUGCUGUCUUUUGAUUCAUUUAACUUGCAUUUUGUUCCUAUUGGUGGCGUAUGUCCAAAGUUUAUAUAGGAUGAACUUCAGCAUUUUUCGCCAUACACUGACAUCCCAACGUAUGGCCUGAUUGUCAAUGAAAAUAUUGUGUUUCAGAUUGUGUAUCUUUUGGUGUGAGCCUUACAGCUCAUGGUAAUCCCAUCAGUAGAUGAAUCAUCAGCUGUAGCAAUGUUUGGGUUGAUUGAGGACUUCCAGAUGCUGUCGCCGUGAGGUGCCUUGCACAUGUGCCCUUAACCCUCCAUCCAACACUAGAAGUCGUUUCUCGUUCUUGGCGAACUCUUCAAAGCCCGACAGGAAGUCGGGUCGUCUGAGGAUCUCCUGUGUGUGUGCGCGCUUUCGAUCCCAAGAAUCUCUGGCAGGUGUAUGAUCCCCUCAACGACCUCUGGCUCACCCUCCCUGUCCUCCCGUCCAAAAGCUGCCAUCUCUCCCAUUUUGGUGUUGUAUCCACUGGUGGGAGGCUGCUUGUGCUGGGUGGAGGGACCGAUGUCGUCGAUCCACUAACCGGUAAUCAAGACGGGACAUUUACAACGGAUGAAGUCUGGUCAUACGACUUCAUACAGAGACGCUGGACUCCAACGGAUGAGGGAGGAGGUUUACAUCAUAGGAGGAGUCAUAGGCCCUGACCGCUUCAAUUGGGACAUCAACCCACUCUCUGACGUCGACGUGUGGGGGGUUACCAGCGAUCGUCUUACGUGACGGAGGGUGGCUCCUGUGACUCGCUGCCGCGGCACUAUCCUUGGCUGUACCCACCUCCGCAUCUGAUUAUUAUAAUCUUAUUACAAAAACAAAAAAAACAAAGAACAAAGUCUUUGUUUUUUUUUUUGUCUUAAAUGGCAUACUGUAUUAGGCGACACCCGUGGAUUUUCUACAUUGUAACUCUCGUCGACUACACAUCUUUCAAAUGUGUAAUAUUGGUGGCACUCGGUGUGUCGUUCCUAGUCU